rnacentral:snoRNA from 2 species
AAGACUAUACUUUCAGGGAUCAUUUCUAUAGUUCAUUACUAGAGAAGUUUCUCUGAAGGUGUAGAGCACCCCUC